AGAUUGAACGCUGGCGGCAGGCCUAACACAUGCAAGUCGAGCGGCAGCACGGGUACUUGUACCUGGUGGCGAGCGGCGGACGGGUGAGUAAUGCCUAGGAAUCUGCCUGGUAGUGGGGGAUAACGCUCGGAAACGGACGCUAAUACCGCAUACGUCCUACGGGAGAAAGCAGGGGACCUUCGGGCCUUGCGCUAUCAGAUGAGCCUAGGUCGGAUUAGCUAGGUUGGUGAGGUAAUGGCUCACCAAGGCGACGAUCCGUAACUGGUCUGAGAGGAUGAUCAGUCACACUGGAACUGAGACACGGU
rnacentral:rRNA from 1 species